AUUAGCUAAGAUGAAAAACACAGUUAAACUUUCGCUUAUUGGUUUUGUCAUGCUCACAGUUCUUCUAUUCGGAGAAACAGUGAUUGCUCAGAAAGGAAAACCAUGUUAUUCAGAAGAGCCAGACAAAACAUGUGAAGUCAAGCGCUGCAAAGCCAACUGUGUC